GAUGAACGCUAGCGGGAGGCUUAACACAUGCAAGUCGAGCGGGAAGGGUAGCAAUACCCUGAGGGCGGCGCACGGGUGCGUAACGCGUAUGCAACCUGCCUUAUACAGGGGGAUAGCCCAUGGAAACGUGGAUUAAUAUCCCAUAGGACUUAUUAAUCGCAUGGUUAAUAAGUUAAAACUACGGUGGUAUAAGAUGGGCAUGCGUCUGAUUAGGUAGUUGGUAGGGUAACGGCCUACCAAGCCGACGAUCAGUAGGGGUUCUGAGAGGAUUACCCCCCACACUGGUACUGAGACACGGACCAGACUCCUACGGGAGGCAGCAGUGAGGAAUAUUGGUCAAUGGGCGAGAGCCUGAACCAGCCAUCCCGCGUGCAGGAUGACGGCCCUAUGGGUUGUAAACUGCUUUUCUGCUCCAAGAAACCUGAUUACGUGUAAUCAGUUGACGGUAGAGUAGGAAUAAGCAUCGGCUAACUCCGUGCCAGCAGCCGCGGUAACAC
rnacentral:rRNA from 1 species